rnacentral:rRNA from 1 species
AACGAACGCUGGCGGCAUGCCUAACACAUGCAAGUCGAACGAGAUCUUCGGGUCUAGUGGCGCACGGGUGCGUAACGCGUGGGAAUCUGCCCUUUGGUUCGGAAUAACAGUUGGAAACGACUGCUAAUACCGGAUGAUGACGAAAGUCCAAAGAUUUAUCGCCAGAGGAUGAGCCCGCGUAGGAUUAGCUAGUUGGUGUGGUAAAGGCGCACCAAGGCGACGAUCCUUAGCUGGUCUGAGAGGAUGAUCAGCCACACUGGGACUGGGACACGGCCCAGACCCCUACGGGAGGCAGCAGUGGGGAAUAUUGGACAAUGGGCGAAAGCCUGAUCCAGCAAUGCCGCGUGAGUGAUGAAGGCCUUAGGGUUGUAAAGCUCUUUUACCCGGGAUGAUAAUGACAGUACCGGGAGAAUAAGCUCCGGCUAACUCCGUGCCAGCCGCCGCAGUAAAAC